rnacentral:lncRNA from 1 species
AAAAAAAACCCUUCAGCAUUUCAAAGAAAAUGCAUAAGUAAGUCAUAGUUCAGUCAUGGUACCAAAGCACAAGCACAGAUAGGAAAAAAAGUAAGUAAAAUAUAAAAUCUAAAAAUGAAAGUCAUUUGUGGUGUAAAUCAGGAAAGUGAGAAGGCAGAUUACAGAAUGGGAGAGAAUAUUGUAGUUACAAAUCACUUGUCUUAUAAGAAGCUGAUGUCCAUAACAUGUAAAGAACUCUCAUCAGCUAACAAUAAUAAUGAAAAAUGAAAACAACAAAAAAGUUUGAACAGACACAUGUUGAAAGAAGAGCUAAGCAUGGCCACUUAACAAUGGGAGAUGCUCCUUGUUAGUCAUUAGGGAAUUAUAAGUCAAAACUCCACUUCCAGCCCUCCAGAAUGACAGCUGUCCCAAAGACAACCUAAGGACAGAUAGUGCACUGGACCUUAGCCAAAGGGCUGAGAGGACAGGAGGGAAGAAAUACUGACUGAUGAUGUAACCAGUCGGAGUUACAGUCAGAUCAGCACCAAGUGCUGGCUUCCUUACAUACCUAAAGGGGACUGUAGGUGGUAGCACACAUGUAUUUCAAAGAACUCAAGAUUUUAAAUGUUUUCAUUGCAAGGAAGCAGGAAUUAUUUGAGGUAGUAGAUAAGUUCACUCUAGCUUCUACAGGGAUGUUCUUAGCAGUAGUCUUUCUAAGCAUUACUUAUUUUUAUUUUAUGUGUAUGAGUGUUUGCUUGUAUAUAUGCAUGUGCAUGAUGUGCACCCCUUGGGCCCUUAGGAGCCAGAACAAGGCUGUGGUGAUAUUUUGUUUAUGAUAUAACAAAUACAGCUUGCCUGAAGAUCAGAGAAGCAAAGUAGCCAGGCACUAGCUCUUACCUCUACCUCAGACCAAAGGGGCGACCUGUCCUCAGACUCCUUCUCCAGACUUCACUGCUCCUCAAACGGCACUGAGCUCCUGUCUUCUACCUUAUACAUUCCUUUCUAGUGCUGGGAUAAAAGGCGUGGGAUCCCAAGUGCUGAGAUCACCUUUGUGUGAGUUCUGUUUCUCUUUUGGACUGGAUCAGUUUCGUGUAGCCCAGGGUGGUCUUGAAUUCACAGAGAUCCGCCUACCUCUGUGUCUCUAAUGCUGGGAUUAAAGGUGUGUGCCACCACUGCCUGGCCUCUAUGGCUAGCUAGUGUGGCUAGCUUUGCAUUCUGAUCUCCAGGCAAGAUUUAUUAGAUCAUAAACAAAAUUCCACCGUACAUUUGUGGCAUGUUGUCAAGACACCAGGUGAAUGCUUGGAACUCAACCCCCAAGAACUGAACUCUAGGCCACUGCAGGAGCAAGAAAUGCUAACUACUGAGUCAAUCUCUCUAGCUCCAGAAGUAUUAUUCUUUUUUUAAAAUAUUUUAUUUAUUUAUUAUGUAUCCAACAUUCUGCUUCCAUGUAUAUCUGCACACUAGAAGAGGGCACCAGAUCUCAUAACCGGUGGUUGUGAGCCACCAUGUGGUUACUGGGAAUUGAACUCAGGACCUCUGGAAGAGCGGUCAGUGCUCUUAACCUCUGAGUCAUCUCUCCAGCCCCCAAGAAGUAUUAUUCUUAAUAGCCAAAAAGUAGAAAUGGAUUACAUAAUCACCAAAUGAUGAAUGAGGGGAAUAAUAUGUCUACCAGUGCAGUGGGGGUCUUGUAAGUAAUAGAAAAGGAUGAGGCACUAUAUGCUACAACACUACUAUAACAAUCCCUCAAUGAGAACAUCCCACUAGUGAAUACAGUCAAUAUUCAGGCCACACCCAUGGUUCUCUUCACCUGCAUUGUCCAAAAGAACAAAAUCUCCAGGGACAGUAAGUAUAUGGUGCUUUUCUAAGGACUGAUGAUGUGUGCCCAUGUAUAUCUGUCUAUCAUUGUGUAUGUUUGCACAUGUGUUUGACUGUAUUGUAUCUGUGUGCAUGUGUAGGUACUUGUGUAUACAUGUGUAAAUGGGUGUGUAAGUGUAUGCAUUCAUGUGUAUCUGUAUACCAAUGUGCAUAUGUGGUAUGUGUAUGUGUGCACAUGUGUUUGACUGUAUUGUAUCUGUGUGAAUGUGUAGGCACAUGUGUAUAUGUAUGUGUAAAUGGGUGUGUAGUAUGUGUGUAUCUGUAUACCAAUGUGCAUAUGCAGCAGUGUGUAUGUGUAAGUAAGUGUGAAUGCCUACAUAUGUGCAUGUAUAUGUUUGAGUGUACUGUAGCUGUGUUAUGUGUGCAUAUAUGGUGUGUAUGUGUGUAUGCAUGUGUGAAUAUAUAUACAUACAUAUAUGUGUGUGUGUGUGUGUGUGUGUGUGUGUGUGCGUGAUGUUUGUGUAAAAUUUUUAGGAAAGUGACUGAUAAUGAGUUUCUAUUUGGAAUGAUGAGGAUAUCCUAAACCUAGCUCAUGGCAAUGCUGGUAACUUGUGUGAAGAAUACUAAAUUAAGUUGUGCCCUUCAAGUGUGUGAAUAACUGACACAUGGGUGGGUAGUGGCAGGGUACUAAUGAUGAGCUUUCUAGACUCAGCUAAGCAUGCUGUUCUUUCCCCCCUUUACUGAUGUGAGCCCUGGGCAAUCUGUCGGAGGUUUUAUUCAGCUAUGAGAAGAAGGGAGCUGCUUCUCCUCCCUUUUUCUUCUUUGUCUGUGUCUCAUAGACAAAAGGAUCCCAAAUGACAUCCUCAGGCUGGAGUUUUGGUCAGGGAGAAAAACAAAGAUGAUCUAAUACAUUGAAGAACCUUACAAGUGUUGCUUUGGCUGAGGUCAACUGAAAGACCAUAUGACCUUGCCAUGGAGUCCAAGCUGACCUGGAGCCCUCUAAAUGCUGGAGUUAGAGGCCUUCCCUACCAUGCCCAGGCUGUGUAAGCUCAGAGACCGCCUUGUUCACAGCCACAAUUCUCUGGAGAUCCAUCCAUGUCACCGCCCUAUGUCUCAGGAGUUUGUUCCUUCUGAGUGGUGUUGCACAGUGUGGCCAAACCAGAGACACCCAACCAUUUAUAUCUAAAGGUAUACAGGGUGUUUCCAAGUUUCUUGUAUUCAAGUUUUUCAAUUCUUCCUGCUUGGCCCAUGAUAGCCUGAGAUUCUCAUUUGGUUUAUGCCUCUGGUGCUGGGAUUACAGGAACAGGCCACCAUGCUCAGCUCACAAAGAAUCCUUUUUAUGUUUUUGUUUGUUUGUUUUUCGAGACAGAGUUUCUCUGCAGCUUUGGACACAGUCCUGGAACUCUCUCUGUAGACCGGGCUUGUCUCAAACUCACAGAGAUCUGCCUGCUUCUGCCUCCUGAGUGCUGCAAUUAAAGGUGUGUGCCACCAAUGCCCAGUUAAGGAUCCUUAUUAAAGCAUAAUUUACAGGCUGCCUAGUUUUUUUCCUUGAAUUUAUUGAAAACACACACCCCCACACACAUGCAGGCAUGCAUUAGCAGUUCUGCUUUCUGUUUAGCCAUGCAGACUCUGCCUCCUUUGUUUCUUUCCUGUUCCUGUGGCCAGGGCACACUUCACCUCCUUUGCUUUUGUGAUGUAUCUAAGUUGCCACAAGAUCUUGUCUACUAAUCACAUCUGCUUGCAUUUCUCGGAUUUUCUGUGUGUAGUCCACAAUUGGAUGUGUCUCUUGCUGGUGGACCCUGAGCUGAGAUCUGCUGCUUCCUU